AGAGACCGGCGCACGGGUGCGUAACGCGUAUGCAAUCUACCUUUUGCAGAGGGAUAGCCCAGAGAAAUUUGGAUUAAUACCUCAUAGUAUAGCAGUUUCGCAUGAGACCACUAUUAAAGUCACAACGGCAAAAGAUGAGCAUGCGUCCCAUUAGCUAGUUGGUAAGGUAACGGCUUACCAAGGCAACGAUGGGUAGGGGUCCUGAGAGGGAGAUCCCCCACACUGGUACUGAGACACGGACCAGACUCCUACGGGAGGCAGCAGUGAGGAAUAUUGGACAAUGGGCGCAAGCCUGAUCCAGCCAUGCCGCGUGCAGGAUGACGGUCCUAUGGAUUGUAAACUGCUUUUGUACAGGAAGAAACACCUCUACGUGUAGAGAUUUGACGGUACUGUAAGAAUAAGGAUCGGCUAACUCCGUGCCAGCAGCCGCGGUAAUACGGAGGAUCCAAGCGUUAUCCGGAAUCAUUGGGUUUAAAGGGUCCGUAGGCGGUUUAGUAAGUCAGUGGUGAAAGCCCAUCGCUCAACGGUGGAACGGCCAUUGAUACUGCUAGACUUGAAUUAUUAGGAAGUAACUAGAAUAUGUAGUGUAGCGGUGAAAUGCUUAGAGAUUACAUGGAAUACCAAUUGCGAAGGCAGGUUACUACUAAUUGAUUGACGCUGAUGGACGAAAGCGUGGGUAGCGAACAGGAUUAGAUACCCUGGUAGUCCACGCCGUAAACGAUGGAUACUAGCUGUUGGGCGCAAGUUCAGUGGCUA
rnacentral:rRNA from 1 species